rnacentral:rRNA from 1 species
ACGAACUUCCGUUAAUUGAUUAUGACGUGCUUGCACUGAAUGAGAUUUUAACACGAAGUGAGUGGCGGACGGGUGAGUAACACGUGGGUAACCUGCCCAGAAGCAGGGGAUAACACCUGGAAACAGAUGCUAAUACCGUAUAACAGAGAAAACCGCCUGGUUUUCUUUUAAAAGAUGGCUCUGCUAUCACUUCUGGAUGGACCCGCGGCGCAUUAGCUAGUUGGUGAGGUAACGGCUCACCAAGGCGAUGAUGCGUAGCCGACCUGAGAGGGUAAUCGGCCACAUUGGGACUGAGACACGGCCCAGACUCCUACGGGAGGCAGCAGUAGGGAAUCUUCCACAAUGGACGCAAGUCUGAUGGAGCAACGCCGCGUGAGUGAAGAAGGGUUUCGGCUCGUAAAGCUCUGUUGUUAAAGAAGAACGUGGGUGAGAGUAACUGUUCACCCAGUGACGGUAUUUAACCAGAAAGCCACGGCUAACUACGUGCCAGCAGCCGCGGUAAUACGUAGGUGGCAAGCGUUAUCCGGAUUUAUUGGGCGUAAAGCGAGCGCAGGCGGUCUUUUAAGUCUAAUGUGAAAGCCUUCGGCUCAACCGAAGAAGUGCAUUGGAAACUGGGAGACUUGAGUGCAGAAGAGGACAGUGGAACUCCAUGUGUAGCGGUGAAAUGCGUAGAUAUAUGGAAGAACACCAGUGGCGAAGGCGGCUGUCUGGUCUGUAACUGACGCUGAGGCUCGAAAGCAUGGGUAGCGAACAGGAUUAGAUACCCUGGUAGUCCAUGCCGUAAACGAUGAUUACUAAGUGUUGGAGGGUUUCCGCCCUUCAGUGCUGCAGCUAACGCAUUAAGUAAUCCGCCUGGGGAGUACGACCGCAAGGUUGAAACUCAAAAGAAUUGACGGGGGCCCGCACAAGCGGUGGAGCAUGUGGUUUAAUUCGAAGCUACGCGAAGAACCUUACCAGGUCUUGACAUCUUCUGCCAACCUAAGAGAUUAGGCGUUCCCUUCGGGGACAGAAUGACAGGUGGUGCAUGGUUGUCGUCAGCUCGUGUCGUGAGAUGUUGGGUUAAGUCCCGCAACGAGCGCAACCCUUAUUACUAGUUGCCAGCAUUCAGUUGGGCACUCUAGUGAGACUGCCGGUGACAAACCGGAGGAAGGUGGGGACGACGUCAAAUCAUCAUGCCCCUUAUGACCUGGGCUACACACGUGCUACAAUGGAUGGUACAACGAGUUGCGAAACCGCGAGGUUUAGCUAAUCUCUUAAAACCAUUCUCAGUUCGGACUGUAGGCUGCAACUCGCCUACACGAAGUCGGAAUCGCUAGUAAUCGCGGAUCAGCAUGCCGCGGUGAAUACGUUCCCGGGCCUUGUACACACCGCCCGUCACACCAUGAGAGUUUGUAACACCCAAAGCCGGUGGGGUA